AAAAAAACCCGGACGCACGCACGAAAGGAAAACCGUCCUUGUUCGUUCCGCGGCCGCCGCCACACCCGUUGGUCGUCUCCUCUCCCUCCUCCUCGCGACCUCACGUGGUCGCCUCCCCUCUCCUCCGCCAACUCCCGACUCCAAACCUCCCGAUCCGCCGCCGCAACCAACUCCCGAUCCGCCGCACGUCGCAGCCCGGGACGCCGCCGCCGCGUGCUCCGUCGAGGAGAACGCCGCCUACCCCAUGGAUGCCACCGACGAGGAUGCAUCCUCCACUGCCUCGCAUCUCGCUCUCCCCUCUGUCACCACAGGCGAGGCCAUGCCGCCGUUGCCGCUGCCGUCCAUCGCAGCCUGGGAGCCGCUGCCUCCGUCCUCUGCCGCGGACGCCGCCCUCUCCCUCCCUAGACGCAGACGCCGAAGCAGACCUUUGUUUUGGAUAUUCAAUUGCUUGACAUGUACAAGUACUGGAAAAGUUGGAAGCAGGUGGACAAGAGAAGCCGACAUUUAAUCCCAAUAAUUUUCAGUGCAUUGCAGAGCUUAGCCGAUUAUUUCAAACCACCGAUGUCGUUCAGUCGUUGUCAGUUCGAUUCUACGUGAGCUUGCAGCUUCACUUUUAUUUAGCAUUGGCAUUAUAUUUCCAAGAAUGAUGUUUUCUUAGGCCGAAAUCCGCAAAGAACUCCCACUAGAAGUUAGUGUCAUAUUUUUACUUAUUUUCAGUUGGACUCUUGCUUUUUAGGUUGAGAUUUUUUGAAGAACUAUUCUUUAAUCUAAUGAUUGGCAGAUUCUACAGUGAGGCAAUUGAGUGCAGAGUUUGGAGAUCAUCAGGUUACAGCCUGUUAUUUUUCUAGAAAUUUAAUUGACUUUUUAGGUGCUCCAUCUUGAGUAGUAGAGACGUCAUCCGGAUCUCCUGCCAAUAAAUUUGUGGAUAUCAACUUUUUAUAUGUUUGUAUUUCCCACUACAAAACUUCUUUUUGACAGCCAGCUGAAUCAAGAACUUAUCAUUUACGCUCUUAGAGAUAGUUCGGCUGAAUCAAGAACUUUUUUUUUGACAGCCAACUGAAUCAAGAACUUGUCAGAUUUGAGGCCCAGGAGUAAAAUUUCAGAGUUGGAAUGUGAGGAUUGUGCAUUGCUUUUGUGUCGAUUGUAUUUUUGUUGUCUGCCCGCAUUGUCACAAGAGUAAUGCCUCUUUAUAUGAUAUAAACAGUAAUUAGACGUCAAUUCUUUUGCUUUUGUCAUUCUUAUGAAGUGAUAGAUUAUUUGUAUAUCCGUUGCGACGCAUGGUCACUUAGCCAGUACUUCAUGGUGUUGGACUCGGUUGUCAACACCCCACCGCACAGCACCAGCUUCCUUCCUUGAGAAGCAAGGCCGGAACACUGACGCCGGCGGCCUUGCUGCGCCGUCCUCCCGUACACUCCUCUCGCGUGCCCACCGCCGCCACCGCCAGCCCAUCUCCAUCCAAGAAUCAACCGCAGCCUUUCUCCGAACAGCCGGCCUUCAGGUGCCUAACAACGUCGUUGUUGCUGGAGCUCUUCUUUUUGGGCUCAGGUCGCUGGCCGGUCGACGCAGCGUUGCUGCACCAUCGAGGGCUGCAGGUAUCGGACAAAAUCCCCUAAAUUUAUCAGCACUUUAGCUCCAGCCUCCAGGCACGACACUGUUUUGCUAUGCCAAGACACUAUUUUGCUUGCUGAAUUUUGCACCAUUCUCCCUGGAAGUGUUUGCUAUGCCAAGUCACAGCCUUGGGUAGAUUUUUAUACUGCUUGUUGUCAUCUUUUGCAAAAUAAAUGAUAAUUGAGAAUGUAUGAAUAUUUUACUUCAUAUUAUCAAGUUUUAACACAAAGAACUAGGUCUCAGGAAACCAUCAGGCCAGUUGUUGUCUCCCUGUUCUAGUGUACCAACCCCACAGGCCUAAGACUUAAAACUAAAUGGUACAUGAUAGAGUUAGAUGACUCCAUUAGAUAAAUGAAUCAGAACCUAGUAUUCAUAUAUUAAUCCUGCUACAAAAGUUACUUAUUCUAGUAUUAGCGAGCUGAAAUCUGAAAGUUGUGUCUCUGUUCAUGAUUAUAUUCUGUGAGGAAUGGUUGCUUAUAUUCAAAUCUGAAGUCGUGUCUCUGUUCUAAAUAUCAUGUUGACGCACUCGACCUAUUCACUUCAAUAUUGUGUUGUGCAGUGUAGAAAUAUACCCUAUAUACUUGUGGUUUUUUAAGUAAUUAUUUUUGGAAUCAUGAACUUCUCUAAUAAGAGGUCAGACCAUGGGUUAAUAGUUCUUGUCUAAGGACAUUCAGACUAAAUAGGUGUAGCUUGAUUAUUAGUAUUACAAUGGGUGGACUGGUUCUUGGAACCUGAAGAAAUGCUUGUGCAGCCAACAUGGCUGUCUACAGGAGGCUUUUCCAAGUAUAUAUAUGAACACCUGAGGGCCAGUUCUUUUCGGCUUCCUGGACUGGCUUCUCCGAGAAGCUGCCCUCCCCCAACUUCCUGGAGAAGCCACCACCUAAAUUUGAUUAGGCUACCAAACUAGUUUGGCCUAAACUACUUUGAGUGCAUAGCUGCCCUGUUUGUUUGGGCUUCUGCUUCAGCUUUUGGUGCUUCUAGCUCUCUAAAAGCACUUCUUCCAUUUACACAUGAAGCUGAGAAGCACGUCCGGAGGUGCUUCCUGCAGCUUCUGGAGGGAAGCACCAAAUAUGUCAAUCUGUUAGUCUAUGUAACUUUUCAGAUCAAUUAGUGAUUCUUAAUCCUGAUAAGGGGCUUUCUGUUUACUCAACUUACAAUGCUCUGAAACCAAAAUAAUAGGUUAAAGUUCUCCUGUUGCUGAUGGCUGCUUAGGAACAUCACACCAUUUUAGCCUUAGACAAUCUUUUGAAAAGAGGGUGGGAUAGUGGCUAUUAUUCUGAGUUGUCAUUCUUGCAGGCAACAAGAGAACUGAAAACAUCACUCAUUUGUUGUUCCUCUUUUUUUGGUACAAACACUCAUUUGUUCAUGUGAAGUAUACGGGGACUGUUGUGGCUUGUUCUUUUGAUAUGCACAACAUUCUUGAGAUUUUGUCAUCAGCUGAUCCGUGAUCCUGUUUAUCUCUUUCCGAAACAGUGUCAUAGACUGAUCAUGGUUGGUUCUGCCAGCUAUAUUUUGAGCCGUGUGGAAAGUUAGGGAUAGAGCAUGUUAUCACAAUAUGUAGCUGGUGGAUCCUUCAUUACUGAUUUAUCAAAUGUAUAAGUAUAACUUCGAGGUGUUACAGCAGGGGAGCAGGGUGUUGCGGCAGCUAACAACAUGGCUUCUAUCAGCAUUGAGGAUGGAGUCCUAGCACUGCAUUUGGAGGCACCAUAGGCUUACAGUUCUCCAGUCCGUUUGAGAGGUGUUGCUUAGAGUUAGCUAAUAGUCAGAGUUUUGCUGCUUUAUAUGAUACUCCCUCUGUUCCCUUUUAUAAGCAGUUUUGGCAAGUCAUUUUGGCUUGCCAAAACGUCUUAUAAAAAGAAAUUGUGGUUAUACUAUGGUAGGGAGCUUGAUAUGUGAACCUGGACAGCAGUUUGACUUCCCAUCUAUUAUAUACUAAAAGUACAUGAUGGAGCAACCAGAAAAAAGAAAGACCUCAUAGAAAAUCUCACAAAAAAGCAAAACAUCUGGCCAUCUAUUUUAGUCUAUGAAAACCGCAGCCGUUCGAUCGUGGUAAUAGGGUUUUGUUCAAAGUUCAGGGAAUUUACCCACAUGUGCCACGCGUGAAGUAAAACCACGCCCUUCCCCUGACCUGCCUAACCUCCAGCCCCGAUCCGCUCCUCUGCUCCGCGGUCAUGGCCAGGCGAUCGAUUUGCAGGUAGGACGCCCCCCAAGUCUUCUCCCUCCGUUCCUCUGCUGCGGCACCAUAUCUCUGACCGGGCAGUCCUCUUCUACGACGUCACGUAAUCCAUGACUCCAGGCUCCAGGAUCUUCCUCGAAGGACAGACGGAAGUUGCCACUCGAUCCAUAGCAGGGGACAGGUUACAGGAUCUUCCUCGAAGGACAGACGGAAGUUGCCACUCAAUCCAUAGCAGGGGACAGGCUCCAGGAUCUUCCUCGAAGGACAGACAGAAGUUGCCACUCGAUCCAUAGCAGGGGACGAACGGCCGUUCAUGUGUUCUGUUGUUGCAGACAUGCAAGUAAUCCAUCAAGUUCUUUAUUUCUUUCUCAUAUAUAUGAACUCUAAUUAAAUUUGAUUCCUUCUGAGUUGAUAUUUGAUCCCUUCUGUCAUUCUGUGUACGUGUAUUGAUGCAAAAUAGUGUUACCUUGAUUCAAUUUACUUUCAUCUAUGUUCUAUCCUCCUAUGUUGCCGUGGUCUAUAGAUAUAGUAUGUUUUUUCAUACUGGUCACAUAUAUUCACCCAAUGCAUACUUUAACUCGGAUUCCUUCCACCAAUAGCUUAUAUGCACAAAAAAAGGGGAAGCCUGAUUUUUUCUCCAUGUAGUGUUACAGUUUUGCAGCCUUGGUAGAAUGAUUUCAUUGUAUUCUAUGAAUUUUCUGCCAUACUACUUACGCUAGGGAAUACAUUGCAUCACUUUUGGCUGGAGGAUACACAAUAGCUGCAUGUCAGGGCUAUUACGAGGAUUCUAAACCAACAUACCUAUACAGUCUAUAUUGUUUAGCACGGUAGAUUGAUUUCAUUUAUGAAUAGAGGCAUGCAUACCAUUACAUGUACGGACUGCAUGCUAGCUCUGCAAGUAAUAGUACUGUGGUUCACGUUUUUAGCUUACAAAUUGUUUAUUGUGUUAUCCACUUCAGAGGUGGAUCGGCGUGAGAUUAUUAUGUAUCAUGCAGACGGAACACAAAGCAAGAACUUCAGAAAGCAAUUUAUGAUCCUUCCAUAGGAGUCCACUGCAUGUUUUUCCUUUAUUUUCUGACCUGCAGGUACACUGUUAAUAUGAAGCCAAAUACUUAUCAUAUAUAUUCUGAACCACCCCCUUAAGUUUGGAAAUUAUGAAAGGUAUGUGGGACAUGCACUGAUGGUUCAUGGUGACAGACAUCAGAGGCGCAAUAAUUUAUUAUGUUGUCUCCAGUUGCAUUUAGAUUGAUGCAACUUCUUACUACAAAUUAAUGUCCAUGUCUCCAACUGAUAUAGCCACUACAACAUCAGCGAUACAAACUGAGUCAGGGAUUCUAUAUAAACGUCAGCAGCAUGCAAAAAUUACUAUGUUAGAUUAUCACACCUUUUGUUUCAAGAGCAAUUGUUUUUUAUUCCCAUAGCAAAUCACAUGGUAUACACUGAAAUCUAUUACUCCCUCCGUCCAACAAAAGAUGUCUCAAGUUUGUCAAAAUUUGGGUGUAUCUAGACAUGACUUAGUGUAUAGAUGCAUUCAAAUUUAGUCAAAGUUGAGACAUCCUUUAUUGGACGGAGGGAGUAUAUGAUUAUUCACCUUUAAGAGACAGUUGCCAAAGGGUGUGGUUAGCAUAUAUCAGAAUGGCAGCAUCAAAAUAUAUGCCCUGGUUAUUAUAGUUUUUCUUAACAGUUUUACAAACUAUAUAGCUCAAAAUUUUCUGCUGCUUCUCUUAAAUUUCUGUAAGGAAAGUACAUUCAUGUUGUCCUAUGUUUCCCUCAUAAUUCAACCACCCACAGCUGGUAGUAUAAUUCAGAUCUGUUAUUAUACAACUUACCUUAUUUUUCUUAUGUUCUUAUAGUUUGUGUUUGCUGGGGAAGAUUCCCUAAAGUUGUUAUAAAACCUACAGAGAUAUUUUUCUGAUGCAGGUGUUGUCUGCAAAGGAGUCCAUCAAAUUCCUACAGGACGUUACAUACUCAGAUUUACUUCCUGAGUACAUGUUAAUCUGUUUUACCAGUUUAUUAAGAAUAGAUGUUAUUUUAUUCAUAAUUUGCAAUUAGCACCAAUAUAGCUUCUAUCAUUCUAACUUACUAUAUAAUUUUCAUAAGAGGUUCACAUGCCUUUACUAUGGUUUUCAUGUUCCCAAAAGAUGACUAAAUAUGUUUUAUUUCAAUACCCUGCCACAUGGUCGUCUGCACCAACAAAGCAGAGCCCGGGGGCUUCCCUCCUUUUAAAAAAAAAAUCUGUGGCAAUGGAAGAAAGGAGCAUGUUAUGUACAUGCUUAAUUAUCAUCUUUUUCAGUGAGAAAACAAGGCUAUUCAGUGGGUGCAUUCUUGCCGAUCUUGAAGAUUACACAGUUUCUUCACUCCUUUGCUUUCUACAGAUUUUUUGGUCAAUUUAUGAUUUAUGGUUGAUUGUGUUCAUAAUCUACUCAUACUGACAUUUCCUUAAAAGAUAUUUCAGUUUUACUUCUUGAUAGAUACGGUCUUUAUAUUUCACUGGAUAUGGAACAUAUAUAUUUUCCUAUAUAGGACCAUUGAAAUUUAUCUAUAUUGUUUGAUAUCCUAAAACUUUAAACAGAAGGUUAUUUUGCAAGAAAAAAAUUCAUGCUCAGUUUUCCAUGUUUAUUGGAUUGUUGACAGCUUCUGAUGUUCUUUUGUGUGGAUUAGUCUAUGGCAACAUAUCGUGCUCUGAUUGACGAGCCGUUGAAAAGCAUGCAACCAACCAAAUGAAAUAUUGAAAGGUACUCUAGGUUGCCCUGCAAGACUACUAUUGCAUAGAUCAGUUUUUAUUUAGUAAUAGCUUCUACUGAUCCUCUAUAAUUUGUGAGAACAGCAAUAGUUGAUCCUUUCACAGUUCCUUAAAAUUUGGAGUUGUGAACAGCAAUAGCUGAUCACUAUAUUGAGUACCAGCUCAUGGUUCUUCCUAGCUUUUGAUCCUUUGUUGAAAACAGUACCAAGUAGAACAACAACUUGUAUAUGAUUGAUUAAUGAAGUAAUUAGGUUAUUCAUCCAAAUACCAUUCAAAGUUGACAUAGUUAUCAUGAUCGUUCAAAAAAUAUGCAAUAAUGCAGUUUUGGUCACAUUUGCUGUGGUCUGAUUUUUACCCCUCGGGUGUAUGUCAGGCAAUAUUAAAUAAAUUGGGAAUUAGUUCACUUUGGGAAACAAAUUAUGGAUAUCAUGAUAUAACAUUUCGAUAACAUGUAUCCUUGCAAAAUGUUCUCAAAGAAAUUAAUGGUAGGGCCAUCGAUGAUUGCAUCACGGUAGUUUACGUAGAAACUACGAUCUAUGAUUGUCGAUCUUCCGCGGAAACUAUGAUCUAUGAUUGUCAAUCUUCCGCGGCAAACAUCAAAUGUAACAGUUUGCCUGGUCUCCGUUCUGCACUCUAUCCCUCAUACUUCAACUCGGUCGGCAGAGGUGAACCAGCAGGACAAUGGAAGUUUAGCAACGACAUCACCAACGCAUAGGUUGUGCUUGGAAUGCUGCUUCCUGUAGCAUCCUCAAGCAGAUCAUAUGGAACAAGAUGAACACACACUGGAAUAAAUUGAGCUCACAUUCUCCGGUUGUAUAAAAAAGCUAAAUAGAGUGUCUCCGCAACAUGAUGCAACUGGAUAUCCUAUAACAUCUGCAGUUGAAAGCACUUCAGGUGCACAGAUACAAUAUUUUUCUUUGUACAAAUUUUACAUUUCUUAAUAGCAUAUUAUUCAGUACACAGACUUUAACUCUUUUUUUUUGGCAAAAGACACAUUUGAUCAUAUUUUAGCACCAACUUUGCAAUUUGACAUAUACUAUCAGCAUGAACAUAAUAUUCACAAUUUUCUUGAGCAGGUGUAGAGGAGAGACAAUAAAUGUUACUAUGGUACCAUGUGUGUAAACUCUAUGUUUCUUUUGCAUCGAACAACAAAUGAUUUUAUUCUAUUGUGAAGUAUUUAUUAUGCCAUUUGGAAGUCACUGCAUUUUUGUUUCGCUCUUGCACUCAUUUGUUGCAGAAAUGUACCUUUCGUAGUCAAAUUGUUAUAGCAUAUUCUCGUAUGUAUAUCAAUGGAUUAGGGUGAUGUGAUAAAUAUAUCUAUUCUAGCUAAUAUGGUCUCUCUUGGUGUAAGCAAAUUGCCUUCUUUGUGUGUCUUCAUCAUAAUGUGCAUGCCCUGAAUUUUUCUGGAUUCUUCUUUUAAGUUUCGUAUGUCAGGAUGUGCAAUCUUUCAGAAAUGUGUUUUUUUUUCAGAGCAAAGAUCAAUAGUGUCGUAGCCUGGGGCUUAGACACCGGGGAUGCGAGGCACCCCCUUUUUGGUUCCGCAGUGGGCGUUGGGGAUCGCUCCGGCGAGGCCAGUGUCAAGCGUGAAGAUGCACAAGACCGUUUUACCCAGGUUUGGGCCACCCUGAGGUGUAAAACCCUACGUCCUGCUUCUGAGCUUGUAUUAGCCAAUUAGCUAGGGUUUACAAGUUGCCGGGGGAGUCCCCGAGCGCUCCCUCCUUUCAUGCUAAGUGCUACUUGCUAUUUCUGGGCUAAAGCUAGUAAGAACCCAACCCUUUGACCGUUGGCGAUGGUCCUCCUUUUAUACUCCAGGAGAUGCCACGGGUGUCUUGGUGCAUGGGUGACAAGUGUUGAGCAAAGACCCUAGGCCCUUGCUGCGCUGGCUUGCAUGCUCGGUACGUAGCGCUGCAACUAGGGCCCUAGAUUCACUGCGGGCCAGUCACUGUGGGCUGACUGGACGGGGAAUUACCUUUCUGUCGGAACAUUAAAUGCUUGUUUGUGCCACACUCCUCGCCCUGACCAACCCUGCGCACAGGGAGCCUGCCGGGCGGCCACGUGGCGUCAAUGCUUUGCCUGCUGGGUACCGUCCCUGUUGUAGGUGCCUGCGCCCGGGAACGCCCUCCCCGGCAAGUGACCUUCCCGGGGGGCGUCCAGGCGGGAAUUCUCUCGUCGCCUUCUAGGGUAACCCCCGCAGCCCGGCUAGCCUUGCCGGGCUGGUGACUCGCCGGGCAGCUUGUGCGGUGCUGCCCAGGGGGCUAUCCUUGCGGGGAGCAGGUGAGGCGACCCACGCGUCAAGCAGCGGUGGUACCCCGGGUGCCACUGGUGCGACAAUAGUCAACUCCUUGUGAGUCAUGCAAAUUUGCCUAAUUUAAUAUAGAAAACACUUCACUUACUCUUUGUUAGCUUCAAAAUAGUUUUGAUUAGGUAAUAGGAUACCGAUAAAAAUGUUAAAAAAUAUUGCCCGCGCAUGUGCGCGGGCCACUCCCCUAGUGUUUCAGAAAAGUAUUAAACGUUUCAAAUAACAUAUCUUUAGCAAAUACAUGUUGAGAGACUAAUAUUCCGUGUUUAGCAUUUGUCUUGUUUGAGUUAAUGUUUAGGUCACUGUCGAGAUUGCCAUUUGAAAAUGCAAGUUGUUCAUCUUCAGUUUCCUUGAACUAGGUUGCUUAAAAAUCUGAAAAUAAUUCACAUGUUUGGCAAAUCAUGCUAUCUCAGAAAAAAUGUCAAACCCAAGUUGCACUUUUGGGUUUGGAGAAAAUGUGAAAACAAAUCUUUCUCUAUUUUCUCCUGACGCCGGUAGCCGGCCUCCCUCUUCUCCGCCGAUUAGCGUACCGGACUCCUUAGCUGCCUUUCUGGAGAAAUGGUCCCCAUGCCGGCAAGGGUGAACUUAGAGCUGCUGGAGUAAAGGAGUCGAGUCCUGUGAAACUUUGAUUCUAUUCGACAGCUUCUACGAUUCCAGGUACUGUGCAUUUCCUUAGUUGCGCCUUCUAGUAGUAAUUCGAUUAGCUGUGCUGGAAUUAUGAGAUAGUGUAUUGAUGGUAUCUGUGGCAGUUCAAAACUUCAAAUUUUAAGAUGGCCAUCUUAUAUAUCUCACAUUGUGCUUAUUAGACGUGUACUUCCAGUGAAUUUCAAGCAUAUGUAUAGCUAGAUAUAUGCCGGUGUUUCUAUUAAAAAAAUGCCGGUGUGGUUUGCUAUUUGCUGUUAGUGCUAAAGGUAUCCAGCCAAUAUAUAUUUGCAGCAGCACAUUGUUUCAAGUCAGUGAAAGUUUGGCUACUUGCAAAUUCAGUGGAUGGUUCAUGCUGCUAGAUAAGUGCCAAUGUGGUUGUCCUUUUCCUGUUAGUGCAAAGGCUCGUGAUUACCUCAUAUCUGUAGCAGACAGUUAGUUGCUGCAAGUGCAAAGCUUUUUAUUUACUUAAAUACGAGCUAGCAAGAAUUAACCCAAUCAAGUAAAGCAUAAGCAUCAGGUUACUAUUAGGCUAUUCCUGGCCCUGUUCCCUAGGUAGAAAUGUUUGUGGCAUUUUCUAUGUAUUUGCCACCGCUAGAAAAGUACUUAUUAAUCAUUACUAGUGUAUUUGCAGCAUUACCUAUACUGUCAGUUGCUGUAAUCUGAUAUGCUAUCAACUCAGCAUUAGAGAAUUUGUAGCGGCAAAGUCAUCUCUGUUUCAACAGUUACUACGUUUUUCUUUAAACAUGUCUACCAUGUUGUACAAAAGUUUUCCAUGUUCUCAUAAGGGGAAAAAAAAAUACUCCCUCCAUUUGUGUAUAUAAGGCGUAUAAAAUCCAGCACCAAUAUUAAAGCAGGCUCAGACUUCAAUCAAUUGCACAACUGAUCUGCUGCGUGCUACAUUUCUAAGCAGCGGCAAUGUAGUUGAAUUUUGUAGUGGUAUCCACCUUCUGCAAUGACCAAUUAUUGCUUAAGUUUCAGAUUUUGUUUUAAAGGCUUAAAUUUCAGAUACUGUACUGUAACUUAUUUGAGAUAGUUAUAUGUGUUAACGGUAAACAUAGUCUUAUUUGAAAUAGUUAAAUUCUGAACUUGUUUUUUUUCUCAGAUGUGCUUGGCUGCUUGGCAAAACUUUUCUAAUGGGCUGAACCAUUCAAGGUCUGCCGGGACGUGCUGAAUAGCACAAAGCGUACAGUUUCUCGGCAAACAGAUCAUCCGAUGAAACUACAGUUUGUAUCAUUCUAGAGUGAAUCAUGUAUUGUACUCUGAUAUGAUCUAUAGUGAAAUGGUUUGAUCCUUUAUAACCAUCAUUUCGGAUUGCUAGAGACGGGUGAUGAACAUAAAGAUUCGAACCACGCCUGCCGUA